UGGGGAAUUUUGGACAAUUGGCGAAAGCCUGAUCCAGCCAUGCCGCGUGAGUGAAGAAGGCCUUCGGGUUGUAAAGCUCUUUUAGUCGGAAAGAAAGAGUUGCAAUGAAUAAUUGUGAUUUAUGACGGUACCGACAGAAAAAGCACCGGCUAACUACGUGCCAGCAGCCGCGGUAAUACGUAGGGUGCGAGCGUUAAUCGGAAUUACUGGGCGUAAAGGGUGCGCAGGCGGUCUUGCAAGUCAGAUGUGAAAGCCCCGGGCUUAACCUGGGAAUUGCGUUUGAAACUACAAGGCUAGAGUGCAGCAGAGGGGAGUGGAAUUCCAUGUGUAGCAGUGAAAUGCGUAGAGAUGUGGAAGAACACCGAUGGCGAAGGCAGCUCCCUGGGUUGACACUGACGCUCAUGCACGAAAGCGUGGGGAGCAAACA
rnacentral:rRNA from 1 species